CGCCCCUUUCUGCCUGGCACGGGCUUUCCCACCGGAUCUCCUGGCUCAGAAACACUGGGACAAAGCCUGUGUCUCUGCCAGCCUGGCCUCCCGCCAGGUCCCCACCCCCCUGGGCCGGGGACGAGGGCACCCUCGCCUGGCCCUGGCUGCUAGAAGACUGUUCGAGAACCCAGAACAGUCUGCGUGGGGCCUCACAGCACUCGUCCUUUCCUAAGAGGUGGGUGACAUUGAGAAAUGGAUCCGGCUGACCCCGCUGGGGCACCAGGCCAGUGUGCCCUCGGGAGGGAAGGCUGCAGAGCCGGUGCCAACUUCAUCUUUAGAGCAAGAAGAAUACGGGGUGCCAGGUGGUACAGCAGGAGGGAUGAAGGUUAGACCACAAGCAGGACUUCCUACAGGCCAGGCACCCCCUGGGCACUGACUGCAGAGCCGCUGCUCAACGCCCAUCUCCCCUGCUCCUCCAGCUGUUUCACACGUGGUCCCCGUUGCUGAGCCUGAACUGAUAGGGAAACCCCUCUUCUCCCUGGUCCUCCCAGGCAGGCUCCCUGCCUCCCUCCACUUCCCUCCCUGUCCCGGGCAUCGCUUGGUUCAAGUCUUGGCCUGGGGGGAGUAGAGAGCUGGUGCCCGGGGCUGCUCAGGUCUGAGAGGAGGAGCAGGCCAGGUGAGAGGGGCCGAGAGAGCCCAGCUCCAGGCGGGAGCCCCGGCCAGCACCGUGGUCUGGUUGGACUGGGGGCCCCUUGGCAUGAGCAGCCAGUGCAGGGAGACUACUGGCCGUGCACGUGAGGGGGGUCAGGGCUCAGUGCCCUGCAGCUCCCAUCACUUCUGCUCUGGCAGCAGGUGACCAGCAAGGGGAUGGGGGACAUCUCAUGUCGCUGACAGCAGUGUCACGGGACCGAGGGGAGCCCUGGGCGGCUCUCCCCUCUCCCCAUGGUCCUGGGGGGCCCAUUGCUGGCACAGUGAGGGCCCCUGAGGAGACGCUGGCAGGGGCACCUGGGGCUGCACCCUGGCCUGGCCCCACACCUGGCCACCUCCUUCCUGUCUUGAUUCCGCCAGGGCCUUCCCUUAACCUUAGAGGGCCACCCUUCCCGGCCGCCCUUCCCUCUCUCCAGCCUCUGGACCCUCGCCCUCAUCUUGAUCUUCUUAAGCACUUCAGGGACUUUCCUCUUGUUAUGCUGUCAUUCCUGUUCAUCUCCCUCAAGGGCCUCUCAGACCUGACCCCGGAGUCAAGACCAGGCCGCGUGCGCACACGUGCCCUUGCAUGCCUUGUGCCCACCCCAAUGCCCACCAGCUCCAUGCCUGGUGCCCACCGGAUGGCCGACCCAGGGCUGCUGUGCAGGACCUGAACUCCAGGCUCAGCAGGGAGGCGGGGCCCAUGGCAGAGUGACCAAAAGAACCCACAGUCCCAGGGAGGCCUUGGGCUGGCAGGAAUGAUUGCAACAAUCCCAUAAAUAGUGCUAUUUAUUGGAAGCACAACUAAUAAUGCUAUGUGCAACGCUCCCGGCAGAGCUGUUAGCUCCUCCUGGUAUAAAAUCUGAACUGUGGACUGUGGGCUUCUCAGCAGCCCAGCCAGGCUCACCAUAACUCAGGGGUCUGUGGUGGGCACUGUCCCCUGAUCCGACCUGUGCUGCCUGAAAUCUAAGUGAUGCAGGCAAUGCGAGUGCAAAGAAAACCAGUGCCAGCCUCUGGUCUGUCCUUUAGAGCCGUGCGGGCAGGGCCGCUCAGGGCAGGGGUGUGGACUGCCUGGGAGGAAGCUUGGCCUGCACGAAGGUGAAGGUGUCCCAGUCCCCACUGACCCUCCCCGCCCGUCCGCCCGUCUUUCUCCCUCAUUGCAGGAUGGCAGCUGAGGCUCAGCGAGGCCAACUAAGUUGCCCAAGGUCACACAGCAAGUAAGUGGCAGAGUUGGGGUCCCAGCCCUGCCGGGCACUCCCCCUGCCUGGGCCUCGCACCCGGCCAGGUCGGAGGUCGCCAAGGGCAGCUGCCCGGCCUGGAGGACUAGAGGGCGUUCCCACCCGGUGGACUGCAGACCACAGUGCGCCAGCACCCGGCGCGCGCG
rnacentral:lncRNA from 1 species